ACCCACAAAUUCUCAUUACUUGUUUUCUUUGUCUACUACAAGAUGGACUCGCCAAGCAAGUUGCCUACCUUAUCCCCGUAUCGCGAAGUUGAAGCGAUACAGCAAGCCUGUCAGCUUCUAAGUUCCGCCUGUGCAGACCAGACGGUUUCCAGGCCUGAAAUCACAAAGCUGAUACAAGAAACCUGCAUGAUGGUCACUACACUGGCUGAUAGCUUGGCAGAACAGACGCAAGACAUAAAACAGAAAAAUAAACUGCUGCGGAGGGAAUUUGACGAAACCCGGCGUCGGCAGGAAACCAACACACACACACGUGUACAAAAAGGCGCCUGAGACGGUGGACAACCUCGACAUACACUCCGCCUCGCCAUAAAUGUUAUUAUAAUGAACAAAAUUACAAUAAAUGCUACUUUAUUCACACUGUA